UACGUAGGGUGCAAGCGUUGUCCGGAAUUAUUGGGCGUAAAGAGCUCGUAGGCGGUUUGUUGCGUCGGCUGUGAAAUCCCGAGGCUCAACCUCGGGUCUGCAGUCGAUACGAGCAAACUAGAGUGUUGCAGGGGGAGACUGGAAUUCCUGGUGUAGCGGUGAAAUGCGCAGAUAUCAGGAGGAACACCGGUGGCGAAGGGCGGGUCUCUGGGCAACAACUGACGCUGAGGAGCGAAAGCGUGGGGAGCGAACAGG
rnacentral:rRNA from 1 species